rnacentral:rRNA from 1 species
GGGGCGGUGCAGCUGCUUAGCUGACGACCGGCGUACGGGUGCGUAACGCGUAUGCAACCUACCUAUUACUAGAGGAUAGCCCAGGGAAACGUGGAUUAAUACUCUAUGGUACUAUAAAGUAGCCUUACUUAAUAGUUAAAGAUUUAUCGGUAAUAGAUGGGCAUGCGUGACAUUAGCUAGUUGGUAAGGUAACGGCUUACCAAGGCGACGAUGUCUAGGGGACCUGAGAGGGUGAUCCCCCACACUGGUACUGAGACACGGACCAGACUCCUACGGGAGGCAGCAGUAGGGAAUAUUGGACAAUGGAGGCAACUCUGAUCCAGCCAUGCCGCGUGUAGGAAGAAGGCUUUCUGAGUUGUAAACUACUUUUAUACGGGAAGAGAUAGCCAUGCGUGGUGAAGAGACGGUACCGUAAGAAUAAGCACCGGCUAACUCCGUGCCAGCAGCCGCGGUAAUACGGAGGGUGCAAGCGUUGUCCGGAAUUAUUGGGUUUAAAGGGUGCGUAGGCGGACUGAUAAGUCAGAGGUGAAAUCCAAUUGCUUAACAAUUGAACUGCCUUUGAUACUGUUAGUCUUGAAUUAGGUAUAGGUAGGCGGAAUUUAUUGUGUAGCGGUGAAAUGCAUAGAUACGAUAAAGAACUCCGAUAGCGU